rnacentral:rRNA from 1 species
UACGGGGGGGGCAAGCGUUGUUCGGAAUUACUGGGCGUAAAGGGUUCGUAGGUGGCUCGCUAAGUCAGACGUGAAGUCCCUCAGCUUAACUGGGGAACUGCGUCUGAGACUGGCAAGCUUGAGUGCAGGAGAGGAACGCGGAAUUCCAGGUGUAGCGGUGAAAUGCGUAGAUAUCUGGAGGAACACCGGUGGCGAAGGCGGCGUUCUGGACUGCAACUGACACUGAUGAACGAAAGCUAGGGGAGCAAACAGG